rnacentral:tRNA from 1 species
GGCGACGUGGCCAAGUGGUAAGGCAUAGGUCUGCAAAACCUUGAUCACGGGUUCGAAUCCCGUCGUCGCCU